GGGUGCUCAGAAUCGAUCAGGUCUGAGCAUGUUUUAUUAACUAUUCUAAUAACGGAUUAUCUGUUGCAAGAAUGGAUGAGUUUGUAAAGACCAGAAAGAGAAGAGCCCCGAUUAAUUAUUAGUUAAUUCGGGGCGCCAUCUUUUACACCGAAGAACGUAAAGGUAGCGCCUUUUUUACUUAAAAACAAGUAGAAGGAGGCACUAAUG
rnacentral:antisense_RNA from 1 species